UCCUACGGGAGGCAGCAGUGGGGAAUCUUGCGCAAUGGCCGAAAGGCUGACGCAGCGACGCCGCGUGUGGGAGGAAGCUCUUCGGGGUGUAAACCACUGUUGCCCGGGACGAACGAGCAGCUUUUGCUGCUGUGACGGUACCGGGUGAGGAAGCACCGGCUAACUCUGUGCCAGCAGCCGCGGUAAUACAGAGGGUGCGAGCGUUGUCCGGAAUCACUGGGCGUAAAGGGCGCGUAGGCGGCUUGAUAAGCGUGCGGUGAAAGCCCGGGGCUCAACCCCGGGUCGGCCGUGCGAACUGUCGAGCUGGAGCACUGUAGAGGCAGGUGGAAUUCCGGGUGUAGCGGUGGAAUGCGUAGAGAUCCGGAAGAACACCGGUGGCGAAGGCGGCCUGCUGGGCAGUGGCUGACGCUGAGGCGCGACAGCGUGGGGAGCAAACAGGAUUAGAUACCCCGGUAGG
rnacentral:rRNA from 1 species